UAAACCUCCAUCGCUCCAUCACCUCUUCUCUCUUUUAUUUUUUUUCAUCUCUAUAUCUUUCAUAUUAUUCUCCACCAUCUCCAUCUAUCGUUUCUUCAACCUUUUGAGUUGUAAUUUUUCUCUGAUUAUACGAUCUCUCUCCUUUCCCUUCAUUUUUUGCUUCCAUAUUUCUCGCUCCCUACCACCACAAUUCUUCUUUAUUACCGGCCACCAACAUCUCCUACCACCAACAAUGCUUGUGCCCAGUGGCGGAUGCAGUGUGUAAUAAGUGGGGUCCAUGGACCCCCCUUGAAAUUGAUUUUCACCAUAUAUAUACAUCUUCAUUUUGGUAAUUAGAUACAAGUUUCUAUAUUCGGCACCCACUGUCAAGAUAUGAAAUAUUAGAAACUUCUUUCAUUUUUCUUUCUUUUCUCCCUCUAUACUAAUUAUUCCCUUCUUUUUCCCUCUGGUUGCUAAACUGCCGCCGUCGACAGAGUUAGAACUGACAACCGACACCGCCCCUGUUCAUUUUCUAAGUCGUUAAUGAGUAAGGUAUAAAAUGGACCCCGGUUGAGAUUUAGUUUUGUUCUGGCUCCGCCACUGCUUGUGCCCCACCUUUUCUUUUAUUAAUCCGCUGACAUAAUCUCUUAGUAAGUAUCGAUUGGACAAGAAGAUGAAGGGCAGAGACUUGAAGAGGAUCUCAAGGAGUCUUUAAGACCUAGGUUUCAUCAAGAUCAAAUGUGUCUUAAUGGCAAGGUAGAUCUUAAUUUAAGGGACAAUGAUUGAUGGGGAUGAAGGACAUACAAGAUUUAAGGUGCCAUGUGGUACGUCUGAUUGGGGUUAAAAAAAAAAUCACAAUUCAGAUAUUGGGUAGAAACAGGGAACCAAUAUGAGAUGUGACAACCGUCAAAAUUCGAGUUAGUUCUACAUUUGAAUAAACUUAGUUACUCAUAUAGGCACUACACAUAUUAGACAUAGUAACUAGAAGCUAAGUUAUAACCUAGUAGAAUCUAGGAAAUAGAUAGAGACAAUGGAUAAUGUGCUUGGAUUUCACAUUGGUAUGUGAAUUCUACGACUACUUAACUGUAGUGACUAUCCAUAUUCGGGUUACUCUUUGACUCGAACAACAUUUCAUGAAUCAUAUACAAACAUCAUGCACUUAACCUAGAAGUAGAAGUGAGUUCAAAGUCUCAUAGAAAGUUAAGUCAAAGUUGAAGAGUAGGACUAGUAUACUUGAUUUCUCAAAUUCGCUUCAAUCUCGGAAUCACUACAUAGAAUGCCAAUAAACCGAUAAAAAUAAAUUACAAACAUUAAUUAUAACUAUAAAAGAGUUAUAAUACCAUAAGAUAAUUUGAAGUCUCAAAUAUUCAAUUUAUUUUGAUGUUCAAAGUUUAUUAAACUUCAAAACC